UUGUAAAAAUCAACGCAUUUCAGAAGGUGGGGCAUAGAGGAGAAACAAUAAUGUACAGUAUGUGGAAGUCUUAAGGCUUUCUGGGGAACAGAGGAGGGAGUGAGGAUGUAAAGAUGUGAUGGCUGUGAAGCACAGAGCAGGGGUUGUGGAGGUGGUUCUGACCCUCAGGAUGCCCUCUCUGUGCCCUGCAGGAGAAUCUGGACUCUGCUGCUUUUGGCACAUGAUGUGACAGAACAUCUACCUGGUCCUGGAAGAUUUGCUUGGCUAUGGGAAUUUGGACCAAGAUCAAGAGAAACAACCAUAACCACUCCUAAAGAAACCACUCAAAAACAGCAUCUGGACAUCCUGCAGGUGUGGGUGGAUUACCUGGUCUCCAGUGCUCUCCACGGGAUUCAACACCCACCCCAUCCGCUGCCUCAGCCGGGUUAGACCGCUGCCAGCAGUGGGUGGUUCACCACAGACCUCCA